GAGCAAGCGUGAGUCAGUAAUCCUGCUUCACCAUCCCCAACGACAAGCCCGUGUGUGAGCUCCGUGUCAGUCUCCACUUUCAUUAGAUCUGUUUGCCUUCGUGUAUUGAGACACAACCUUCAGACUGUGGCUUUGGAAGGAAAGCUGCCUGGAGAGUUUCUUUUGUGUGGAGACGUGGCUAUAAGCUCUGUGUCUGGCUGAAGAGGGCCCGGCCCAGCCUCCCUAUGCCUCCAACCUGGGUAAUUACUUCAGUCCAAGCUGCAGCUCAUUACUUCUCUGCAGGUGUUCACUGAAGCAGAGCUGACCUCUUAGGAGUUCAUUAGUCAGAUGGCAGAGGGAGAAUGUGGACUCCGAUUGCCCGGGCCUCCGUGACAACGCUGUGGCCAAGAAGUUUCUCUGUUGGAGGAGUUUUACACCAGCAUGUUUAAAGAAGAAAAUAGUCACGACGCAUCAUGUCUUGAAUAUCUCCCUGUAGGAUGCCUUUUUGCCAAACUUUAACUUGGCAGGAUGCCGCCCACUUGUAUUUAGGGACCAGGUAAGAAAUAACCCUUAAAUUUGGUUCUGUGUUUGCACUAAGGCUGUUGUUGACAGCUACGCUCACUACCUAACACAGGGCCCUCCCUCUGAGAAGCCCUUAGAGAAAUUCUGUUCGUUUUUAGCAUGAAAGUUGUAGUUCUUCAGAGAAGCUGCUGGUGGAGAUGUGCAGCCCAGCGCCACCGGGAGGGGGUAGGUCUUGGGUAGAUCAGACCCAGACAUGAAUUUCAUCCUUACCACUUUCUAGCUCUGUAUGCUAGAGCCUGACUUUCAUCUUCAAACAUGGAAGAUAGUACUUAGGUUACAGGUUUGUUGUGAGGAUUAGAUGAGAUAAUAUAUAGAGAGCCCUGGUACUUAGUUUGGGCUCAGUAAAUGGUCUUUGCCACUGAUGUUGGUUUCUACAUAUAGACACAUAACUCAUAACUAAUUGUCUUUGCUUCUAGUUAGAUGCCGGGAGAUACAGAAGCAAAUCUGUGGCCAACCUUCAGCAAGCAUCUAGGACUCCUUGGCAUGGAUUUUGUUUGACAAAUCCCAAUCCAGGUUCUCCCUCACUUUGUUGUUCAUUUG
rnacentral:lncRNA from 1 species